GAAAAACAAACAUGAACAUAAAAAACCGUUUGCGAAGUAUUGGGAAUUCUAUUAAGUACUUAGCAAAUAUAAUUAUAUACAGAAUAGAAAAAAAGUAUGGUCUUUCAUAUGUUAAGCGCAUACUAAGUUUACAUUGUCUGUUCACCAUUUCUAGAUAUGGUAAAAUUUUAAAAAUAUUUAAGCCAUUUUUGAGCUAUUCAUAGACAUUUUAAUUUUGCUUUUUUUACUUAGAUACUCUGUGGAUAUAAUUUUUAGACUAAACAGAAAAUAGAAAUGCUUAAACAGGAGGUUCAUUAUAUUGUGUCAUACUUAGUAGUCAAA